rnacentral:rRNA from 1 species
AGUGAACGCUGGCGGUAGGCCUAACACAUGCAAGUCGAACGGCAGCACAGUAAGAGCUUGCUCUUACGGGUGGCGAGUGGCGGACGGGUGAGGAAUACAUCGGAAUCUACUUUUUCGUGGGGGAUAACGUAGGGAAACUUACGCUAAUACCGCAUACGACCUACGGGUGAAAGCAGGGGAUCUUCGGACCUUGCGCGAUUGAAUGAGCCGAUGUCGGAUUAGCUAGUUGGCGGGGUAAAGGCCCACCAAGGCGGCGAUCCGUAGCUGGUCUGAGAGGAUGAUCAGCCACACUGGAACUGAGACACGGUCCAGACUCCUACGGGAGGCAGCAGUGGGGAAUAUUGGACAAAGGGCGCAAGCCUGAUCCAGCCAUACCGCGUGGGUGAAGAAGGCCUUCGGGUUGUAAAGCCCUUUUGUUGGGAAAGAAAAGCAGCAGGUUAAUACCCCGCUGUUCCGACGGUACCCAAAGAAUAAGCGCCGGCUAACUUCGUG